UCCAGCUUCCAAUAAGUCCCUACUAUUAUAAGAAUCGCUCUUCAAAGACCUUCCCCCUCUCAGAGAACUUCUCCAUGGCCUUGUGUAGGCUGAAAUACAUUCUUCUUUCUUCUUCACUAAAUUGGUAUAAGUGAAUUCUUAUAAGUUAACUGCACAGAAGACAAGAUUCCAUUCAGUUGUAGGUUGAGUAGAUGGUGGCCUUCCAAAUCAUCUUAAUUAGCUUCCAAUUAGUUAAACGGUCACCUCAACUUCUCUUGGUUAGAUGUCAAGAAGGAUUAUCACUUCACCAUCUUUCCUUUGAGAAACUGCUCCUCCUCCACUCUAACCAGGUAAUUUUGGUGGUGCUGCCAAUCAAAUACACUAUCUAUCUGACCAGAAAAGUAGGCACGUGACAUUCUUGUGGCCAUUGUCCUUCCCUGGAAUUUGUAACCACAGAAGAAGAGUGAGAUACAGCUAGAAAGCACCAAAGAGGCCUCAAUAUCCUGAAGACAAAAAAUAUCCAACUGCUGAUGCCAAUCUAGAUACCAAGAAAAUAAAGGAUAACCAACAU